rnacentral:lncRNA from 1 species
UAACAUUAAGUAGUGUACAUGGUGGUCAUUCAGAUGAUUUUAACAUUUCAAACAUACAAUCAUUUCUUUAAGUAGCAGUGCAGAUGAGAGAAGAACUGAGAUCUUCAUUCCCUCCACUUUUUGGAAGCAAUUUCCCUGUUAAAGAAUAAUCUUUAUUGUAUAUCACAAGAAAGAUAUCUUUGAUUGACUUUUAAUACUGCCCAAUAGAUGGCAGUCAUACACACACAGGGCUAUGCUUCAAAGCCAGGAAAUUAGCACAGCCAGAACCAGAAGCGGGUCCCUGGAUGAAACAGUGAAAGUUCAGCAGCUGAGCUGCAAGAUCACAAGACUGCUGUGGAGGGACAGAUCAGCAGGAGGGAGCCAGGCAGACAUGGAUAUAUUUGCACAGGCACUGGGAUUGGAAUCUGUGUUGCCUUUCACUCAGGUCCUCUCCAAAUUCAUUGGCUGCAAAGGCUGGAUCUUCACGGAAAAGGCCUUUGAAGGUGAUCUCUAUAUACUGGCAGGUGGGUACUAGGUCCCAAGCCAGAAAAGAAUUCAAAGUAUUCAGAAUGCAUGGAAAGAAAACAAAUUUCUUAUGAAGAGGUGAUAUGCAGAACCCAGAUGCAGAGUCUUCUUCUCAGUUGACCAUUAAACAAAAAUCCAAAAUCCAGACUACCUAUCAAGUGGAUUAAGAUACAUUAAGCCAAACUGGAGAGGCAGGAGGAGAAGAAAUAUAAUUAUAUGCAAGUUUCAGAGUCACAAGAUAUCUUCAUAAGACAUGGUGGACAAAAGACAGGAGGCAAGAAAGAUAAUAAUCAAUCAAAUAUACCAGGUAAAUUCCACAUUGCUCUAGGUAGGAAACCAGUCUAAGAAACUCUGGAAGUUAUUCCCUAGUGAUUAAAGUCUGCCUUGCUAGCAAUUUACAGUCUUCCUCAUUGAGUUCCUUGCUAGAUGGCUAGGUUUUGUUUUCUCAAAGGAAAAUGAAAUGUAGUGGCAGCCAUGCUGGCCAAUAAAUAAAUAAACUGCCAAAUUUGAACUCUUUAC